rnacentral:rRNA from 1 species
CCCUUAGAUGUCCGGGGCUGCACGCGCGCUACACUGUAGAAAGCAGCGUGCUUUAAAACCUUUCCUGAAAAGGAUGGGUAACCCCAGCAAAAUUCUACGUGCUUGGGAUAGAGAUUUGCAACUUUCUCUCUUGGACGAGGAAUUCCCAGUAAGUGCGAGUCAUCAGCUCGCGUUGAUUACGUCCCUGCCCUUUGUACACACCGCCCGUCGCUACUACCGAUUGGGAAAAUUUUAGAGAGUCCUGGACUGAUGAUUGUUCGGCUUCACGGCCUUACUUUCGUCGGGAAAGAAUUCGAUAAUAUUUUUCUAGAGGAAGUAAAAGUCGUAACA